GCCACAUACAGGUCAUAUAAAAAUGUUUCUUCUGGAAUCUUGAGACAUAGCUUCUUCAAAAGGAUUGUUCUUUUAACAUCAAUAAGCAGCUCUACAAUGAAAAUAACUAGCAUAUUCCUUCUCCUUGCAGUGGGGAUCUUCUGUUCCUCAGGUAAGGGCUACAUAGAAUUCAUGUCUUUUUCCUUGCAGAUGCUAAAAUUCCCAGUAUAAUUGUUCAGUCGAUUUCCUAUAUGCUCCUGACAAAGGAGAGUAUAGGAAAACAUGCACCUCUAUGAUGGGAUAGAGUCUCAUUUUGAGGCUGAGGGAAAAAAGAACAGAGAGAAAAGGUAUUUGAGUGACUUUGAUGAGAACUAAAAAGGAACCAGAUCUACGCAUUAGAUCUUCUCCAGAUUUUGUAUUGCAGUUCUCCAGCCAGGUGUGUGUAAAAUUCAUAUACUAUGGCAGUUUCCAUUAAAGGAAGUGCAUUAGUGAAAAUAACAUACAAAAAUGCAUUAUAUCACAGGAAAUUGCUUCACCAAAACAUCUAUAUUAGUCAAAAUUAAAUGUUCUUUUUUAAAAAUCCAAGAUUUAAAGAUCAUUCUAUUUUUAAGGUCUAAAUAUGCAGCAGCAGACCCUGACAUCUCAAAUUUCAGUGGCAUCCUGUGUGAAGCCAAAAUCUGCUCCCUUGCCUCUCGCUUUGCAUUGGACUUCAUAUCAUGGCAUCUGCUGCAGCUCCCCCCAAAGCUCCACACCCAGUGUGACCGAACAGGUCACGUUCCCCUAGAUCCACCUUUGAAAUAUGCACCCUUGUCAAAUGAAUGUAUUUUUGUUAAAUAUUUAAAUGUUGUUGUUGUUUAAAAAAAUUAGACUGAUUUGAUGCAGCUAUAACACAACCAGCCGAGGUUACAGGCUCUGCUAGAAGUAGAGUGGAUUUCUAAUCAAUAAUGUUUUUUCUCACAUUGUUAGGCAAUGCAGAACCUGAUGGUGGCAAUGGUGAGGCAAGAGAGGUAAUGUUGUCUUGAUUAUUUAAGUGCAGUGCAUCCUGCUUUGGUGAAAAUUUACCCCACCAAUAUAUGGCAAAUGCACUAUUGUCACAUAAAAGAAGUCAGAACAAUACAAUGUGUCAGGUACUGACAGUGCUUCCCCCCCUUUUUUGGGUAGAAAAUGAGGUGCAUACACAUACAUUGAUAAAAGAGUCAUGGAUGCCAGCACAAAAUGGCUGCCCUGGGUAGUGAGCUGAAAUUCAGGCAACUCAAACCUUCUGUCGUUGCCUUCGAGAGGAGUGCACUGAAAUCACCUAGCUAUGUUUCUCUGUGUAUUUCCUUACCAAUAAACUAGGAGUGGGGAACCUAAGACCUGGGGUUGGAUGUGGCCCCCAGGCCUUUAUAUCUGGCCCCCAGGACUCACUCUAGGCCCAUCCCCAGACUAUGCCCAGGAACCCUUAUCAUUCACAUAUUUGGAAAUUAGUCAACUGCACAGUUGCAAGAGUCUCAUCCAUUGCCCUGCUCACUUUUACCUCUGGCCUUGCGCACCCCUGGCAUGCACCCCCCAUUAAUGAAUAUGGUCCUAUGAGUGGAAAAAUAUUCCCCACUGCUGCUAUAAACUAGCUACACAGAUAUUUUACUAAGCAUGCUGGCUGGCGCUGAUGAGAGUUGAGGUCCAACAUUAUCUUGACGGUAACAGGUUGAGGAAGGCUGCAGUAUAGAAACUCUUGCCAAACAAACUAGGAUUGAUAACUGCAAAAGGCAGCAGCUUUUACUGGGAAACAAAUGCCAUAGCAUACAAUGCUUCAGUAGCUAUCACGCCAAUGUCUAAAUUUCUAUGCCAUUCUUCACUCUGCUUCCUCAACUUAACCUUCAUUCUCCAGUAUCUUCGUUCUUCAAUAUCAUCCUCUAUUAAAGAAUACUAGGAUCGGCUCUACCAUUAGGUAGCGUGAGGCAAUUGCCUCGGGCAGUUGAUUUUGGGUGUCAUGAAAGAGGAGCAAAUGUAUUGUUCUUGGAUUUUUACUGCCAGAAAGGGGGAAGGUGGUUGUAAGAUUUUCUUGCCUCGGGUACUGUUCAUGGGUACUAAGGCUAGACUUGGGGAGAGUGGCACCCUUUGUAACUGCGUUUCAAGUAAGCAAAAUGUCUUGCACCAACUUUGAGGAAUAUAAAUUUAAACGAUUGUUGCUGUUCCAGAUACUGAACUAUACAGCUUUUAUUCUACAGCCAGCCUGUGAACUUUAUGAAACACCAGGAUGCCCUAGAAAUUUUGAUCCCGUCUGUGGCACUGACCAAGUGACCUAUCCCAAUGAGUGUACCUUGUGCAGUACAAAUCAGUAAGUAUCUGUUUUUCCUUUACCACUUAGUUUCUUCAAGGGAACCUGUUUUCUUUAGGCCUUUGGCCAUCUUUCAAGCCUCUUAAGUAGAUAGGAGUGCCAGUAGGUCCCAUAGGGAAAGAAAUAGUAAGUGAGAUACCUUCAAAUCCCUCCUUUCAAUCUGUGUGGUCACCCCUCCUGUGAACAGAAGCAUCCCCUAAGAGGUACAACACUCACAUCAUAAAGAUUACCCACACCCACACUCCAAAACAGAGCAGCAACAUAUAUAUCAGUCAUAAAGUAAUUCAAAUACUUUAAAUUGCUACUUGCUCUGGUAUAUGGCGUAGUGCUGGAUUAUCCUCUUUAAAUGGGUCCUGCUGAAAGGUGGGCUAUCUGGCCAAUGUAGCCUGAUGGCAGAUGCAUCCUAAUUCACUUAGGUUCUUGUAGUAUUUUUAAUAUAACAUUUUGUAUUGGUUUUACAUGAUUUUAUACAUUUUAACUUUAACCAUUUCAAACAUUAAAAUAAAAGGUUCUUUUGAACCUUUGGACCUCCUUCCCUCCCUCUAUGGGUUCCAUAUUUAAGAUUUAAGUUUUCUGCAUCCUUUUCCUUUAUCCAUCUGUUAGAUAUCUAUAGUUAACAUAUUUAAUUCCACAUUACAAGUGUCAUUACAUCCCUGCCAAUGAUUUUAACUGUUUAACUGUCUUUUAACUAAAUUAAGAAUUUACUCCAGUCUUUUAAAAAUAAUUGAUCUUCCUGGUUUCUGAUCUUCCCCGUCAGUUUCACCAUCUCUGCACACUCCAUCAGUUUUGUCUGCCAUUCUUCUCUUGUUGGUACUUCUCCUUCCUUCCAUCUCUGGGCUAGGUUCUCCUAGUAUUUUUAGUCCCAACAGCAAGAUGGAAACAGUAGUUCUGAAGAAGCAUCGUGAGGAACAGAAAUAGGAGAUUGGAGGGAGCUUGUUCCAACAUCAGAGGCAGAUCCACACCAUACAUUUAAUGCAUAUCCAACACAUAUUUAUAGUAGAGGAUUUGCUCUUCAAAGAAUCCUGGGAACUGUGCUUUGUUAAGGGCAGCUCUCUGUGAGAAGGAAACAACAUUAGCAUGUGACAAUAGGCUGGGGUUCCGCCCAGUAGAAAGGGUAUUGCUGACACCUACAAACCAAAUUUUCACGUUCCACACUCACUUUCUGAAAAUUUGCACUCCCUUCUCCUGCUGCACAUCUGCAUGGGUGGUUGUGAGAAGUUCCAAAGCAGUAUGGAAGAUGACUCAGGAACUGCAAAGGUGCAGGAAUCAACAAAAACAGUCUCCCUCUUUCUAUUAGAACAGGGAUUGAGUGGCUCUCCAGAUGUUAUUGGAUGACACUUCCCAUCAUCCCUUGCUAUUGGCCAUGGUGAAUGAGGUUGAUGGGAGAUGGAGUCCACUAACAUUUGGAGGGCCAUGUAUUCUCCAUCCCUGAAUUAGCAGGAACGAAAGCCAAAUGCCUUCUAUCCGCAGAAGGACUCAUUCCAUGAAUGGAAAGGCACCUUAGGAUCCAAAUCAAUGUCUCCCCCUCCCUCUUUCUCAAGAAUGUGAAGCAUUUCAUCUAGUGAAUUCUGAACAUAUAGCUGCUCUUGAAGGAACAAGGUCAUUUUUUCUGGUCAGUUGGCAGGCUUUAUUUGACUCAAGAAAGCGAAAGUCUCCCUUAAGAGCCUUUUCACUGUUUCAGAGACUGUGCAGGCAGUAGCUCCAUGUAUGCCUGUGCAUAUGUCACUUUCAGUAUUAAUACUUCAACAGGAAUUUGUAUGUGUGAGUAAUAAGGAUAAGGAUGGGGGAGAAAGUUGGUUUUGUUGACAUUUUAGGUGAAUCUACCUUAUUUGAAUUUCUCAAAACCCAUAGGCAGAAAAACAGUUCUCCUGUGAAAGCCACAGUACUCUGAAUUUUGAAACGCAGUUCUCUAGCUCCAAAGUGUGUGGGGAGGGGGACGUAUGCAUAACUUGCAAUCAAACGCUGGUGAAUUUUCAUGAGGACUUGGCAAGUGAGAUCCUGCCCAAAUUGUAAAAUUCUAUCUCUUUUAAGUUGUCCAUGCCUUGAACUCUAACAGGUGUCAAAACGUAUUAUCGCACAAAUGCAUUAGCCUCUGGCCCUAGCAAUGCCUAUCUGAAAUACAUAUGCUCCAAUUCUCACAAGGCAUGAUUUGGCAACAUCUCAACUUUGACCUGGGAAAUGAAAGAUACUAUUCAGUAUGCUUUAUACCUUUUUUGCAGGCAAAAGAAUGUACAAGUCAAAAUUAAGAAGGCUGGAAUAUGCUGAGAGUGUUGAACAUGCAUCAGUUUUUUUUGCUGAAGAAUUUAGGAGUGGGCUUUCUGGCUUUCUCUGAUGAAGAUGCACAGAGUUAAUAACUGCUUGGUAUUCCUAUUUUCCAGAUUUUAUUGUCAAUAAAACAACAGCAUUGCAGCAAUCUAGUA
rnacentral:lncRNA from 1 species